rnacentral:misc_RNA from 1 species
UCUCCGUUGGUGAACCAGCGGAGGGAUCAUUACAGAGUUUUCACAACUCCCAACCCUUGCGAACCGUACCCAUUCUGUUCUCGUUGCUUCCGGCGGGGGGGACGGGGGGGCCCGAAACGGCCUCCCCGCUCCGCCCGCCGGGGGCGGCGGGCCCUACGAACCUUUAUAUCUCAACCACCAGAAACCGUCUGAGAAAACCAACAAAAUAAUCAAUACUUUCAACAACGGAUCUCUUGUCUCUCGCAUCGAUGGAGAACGCAUCAGAUCGGAAUAGCACAC